rnacentral:rRNA from 1 species
GACGAACGCUGGCGGCGUGCUUAACACAUGCAAGUCGAACGGAAAGGCCCUGCUUUUGUGGGGUGCUCGAGUGGCGAACGGGUGAGUAACACGUGAGUAACCUGCCCUUGACUUUGGGAUAACUUCAGGAAACUGGGGCUAAUACCGGAUAGGAGCUCCUGCUGCAUGGUGGGGGUUGGAAAGUUUCGGCGGUUGGGGAUGGACUCGCGGCUUAUCAGCUUGUUGGUGGGGUAGUGGCUUACCAAGGCUUUGACGGGUAGCCGGCCUGAGAGGGUGACCGGCCACAAUGGGCCUGAGAUACGGACCAGACUCCUACGGGAGGCAGCAGUGGGGAAUAUUGCACAAUGGGCGGAAGCCUGAUGCAGCAACGCCGCGUGCGGGAUGACGGCCUUCGGGUUGUAAACCGAUUUCGCCUGUGACGAAGCGUGAGUGACGGUAAUGGGUAAAGAAGCACCGGCUAACUACGUG